UACGUAGGCAGCAAGCGUUGUUCGGAGUUACUGGGCGUAAAGGGUGUGUAGGCGGUUGGAUAAGUGUGGUGUGAAAUCUCCCGGCUCAACUGGGAGGGUGCGCUACAAACUGUCUGACUAGAGUGCGGGAUGGGAAAGUGGAAUUCCUGGUGUAGCGGUGAAAUGCGUAGAUAUCAGGAGGAACACCGGUGGUGUAGACGGCUUUCUGGACCGUAACUGACGCUGAAACACGAAAGCGUGGGUAGCAAACAGG
rnacentral:rRNA from 1 species